rfam:Desulfobacterium vacuolatum DSM 3385 genome assembly, contig: Ga0002809_126
GUCAACAACCCCUGAGCUAAAGACUCAGGGGCUUGCAAGGCAACUUGUAAGCCCGGUUGAUUAGCCUAAGCCCCAGAAAACUUGGUGGCUACGUUACAUUGGAAUAUAUAGUCAUCCCAAGGCACUCCACACGCCGAAGGCUCUGAGAUCAGUGUUUAAACAUCUCUGAGGGUAGGAGAAGUGAUGCUGAUAUUGUAAACCCGUUGUAACAUUGGCGAAGUGGAUCACUC